AAGCCAGAGGGUUCCUGACCUUGUAUGGGGUGGGGUGGGAGGGGCGGUAACAAUGAGAAGGGAAGCAACUCGUUCAGCAGCGGGACAUGAAGAAGGGGUCUUUGGGAAGCAGCCAAAGGUCAGCUGGCUGAGCAGUGCAGUGGAGGCUGCAGGGCUGUGCCGGCGGCGGCGGGAGGAGCCACCAUCCUGGGCAGGAGAAUCUGUGCAGAAACGCAUGGCAAGUGAGGAAGAUGAGGCCAGAGAGCCAAUAGGGACAGGCUUUGGGGCCCCACCCCAGCUCCUGAGAUCCGCAUAGACUGCCCACAAUUUCAUCUCCCUGAGCCUGUUCCAUCAUCUAAAGAAAAAAAGCUGCCAGGUGCCCAGGUUCUCCUCCCGGAAGGUGUGCACGUUGGCUGAAGCGGCUCCCUGUUAUCCCGGUUCAACACGUCACGGAG